rnacentral:tRNA from 1 species
UGGAGAGAUGUCCGAGAGGUUGAAGGAGCACGCCUGGAAAGCGUGUAUGCGAGCAAUCGUAUCGGGGGUUCGAAUCCCCCUCUCUCCGCCAU